rnacentral:rRNA from 1 species
AUUGAACGCUGGCGGCAUGCUUUACACAUGCAAGUCGAACGGCAGCGCGGGCUUCGGCCUGGCGGCGAGUGGCGAACGGGUGAGUAAUACAUCGGAACGUGCCCAGUAGUGGGGGAUAGCUCGGCGAAAGCCGGAUUAAUACCGCAUACGACCUGAGGGUGAAAGCGGGGGAUCUUCGGACCUCGCGCUAUUGGAGCGGCCGAUGGCAGAUUAGCUAGUUGGUGGGGUAAAGGCCUACCAAGGCGACGAUCUGUAGCUGGUCUGAGAGGACGACCAGCCACACUGGGACUGAGACACGGCCCAGACUCCGACGGGAGGCAGCAGUGGGGAAUUUUGGACAAUGGGCGAAAGCCUGAUCCAGCAAUGCCGCGUGUGUGAUGAAGGCCUUCGGGUUGUAAAGCACUUUUGGCGGGAACGAAAAGGACUGUGCCAAUACCACGGUUCGAUGACGGUACCCGCAGAAUAAGCACCGGCUAACUACGU